GAUGAACGCUGGCGGCGUGCCUAAUACAUGCAAGUCGAACGGGGAGAUUGUAGCAAUACGGUCUCCUAGUGGCGAACGGGUGAGUAACGCGUUGGUGACCUACCCCGAAGUGUGGGAUAACAGUUCGAAAGGGCUGCUAAUACCGCAUGUGGUUGGGAAGAUUAGAAGCUUUCCAACGAAAAGAGCAAUCUGCUUCGGGAGGGGCCUGCGACCCAUCAGCUAGUUGGUAGGGUAAAAGCCUACCAAGGCGACGACGGGUAGGGGACCUGAGAGGGUGACCCCCCACACUGGCACUGAACAACGGGCCGACACACCUACGGGAGGGCUG
rnacentral:rRNA from 1 species